rnacentral:lncRNA from 1 species
UUAAGCACACUUUAGCAAUAAUGUCUAUAUAAAACAUAGUUUCUACAAUUUUUCUUGUCAUUGCUUUUGCAAUGUCAGUAUAAACAUCCCAUUGUGCUGAUUUAUUCAAUAAUAUGCUAAAAAGCUGAUCUCAAUAUUUAAAGUUUUCUUCUGUUGCACAUGUGUCAGUCAUCUUUCCAUUGACUUGCUUAACCAUAUUGUACAAAAAUAAGCAAAAUGGAAAUAUUCUCAAUAGGCAUACUCCUGUUCAGUUUUAUUAUAAAUAUUUCAUGAUCUCAACCUUAGAAUAAUUCAUGAAGUGAGGUUGUUGUCAUGCUGCAGUCUUUCUGAAGUUCUUUAUCAGCAAAUGCUCCUAACUGUACUUCUAAAUCAGCUGGUCAUCGAACAUCCUUCUUGCAGUACCAAUACCAUGUCAUUUUUAACAGGCUUUUUUUCUAGUAGUAGUGUCAUGUGUUACUUAAGGACAGGGAUACAUUUUGAGAAAUGCAUCUUUAGGUGAUUUCGUCAUUGUGUGAACAUCAUAAAGCAUAGUUCCACAAACCUAGAUGGUGUAGUCUACUACACACCUAGGCUGUAUGGUCUGGCUUGUUGUUCAUGGGCUAUAAACCUGUACAGCAUGUUACUAUACUGAAUACUUUAGGCAGUAGUAACACAAUGGUAAGUAUUUUUGUAUCUAAACAUAGAAAAGGUAUAGUAAAUAUAUCUACAGUACAUAUAGUAUAUAUAUACACUAUAUAUAAAUUAUAUAUACAGGGAAUAUAUAUAUAGUAUAUAUAAAAAUUAUAUAUAUACAGUAUAUAUAUAUAGUUUGUAUAUACACCAGUGUAUUUACAGGAAAAUAUAGUAUAAAAGAUACAAAUGGUACACUUGUAUAGGGCACUUACCAUGAAUGGAGCUUGCAGGACUAGAGGUUGCUCUACGUGAGUUAGUGAGUGAGUGGAGGGUGAAUGUGACAGCCGAGGAAAUUACACUACUGCAGACUUUAAAGACACUAUACAGUUAGGGGACACUAAAUUUAUACAAAAUCUAUUUCUUCAAUGAUAAAUUAAUCUUUGUUUACUAUAACUUUUUAACUUUAUAAACUUUUUUUUAACUUUUUUACUUUUUUGUAAUAGCAGCUUAAAACACAUAUUGUACAACUGUACAAAAAUAUUGUCUUUCUUAUAUCCUUAUUCUGUAAAGUUUUCUUCCUAAUUAAAAAAUUAAACUUUUUUGUUAACAACUAAGACCCAAGCACACACACUAGCCUAGUCCUACACAGGUCAGGAUAAUCAGUAUCACUGUAUUUCACUUCCACAUCUUGUCCCACUGGAAGGUCUUCAGGGACAAUAACAUGCAUGGAGCUGCCAUCUAUGACAACAGUGCCUUCCUUCUUCUGGAUAUCUCCUGAAGGACCUGCCUAAGGCUGUCUUACAGUUAACUUUUUAUGCACCGUGUGUCUCAAGAUUGUGGCUAAGAGCCAUAGCCCUGGAGGAUGUACAGAAGCAUUGCUGUGGCUUAUGACCCAUGGCCACUGUUGGGUCAGGAAGGACAUUGCUUUAAGAGCAGGCCCUACACCUAUGCCAUUUGGCUGGUUGAAUAGAUGAGGGAAAAAUCUGAAAAGGGUAGAUAGCAACACCAAGGCCAGAAGUCUCCUGGGUAUUGUGCUGAUUGGACCACGUACAAGUUCCUCCCUCAUCCUGGCUUCUGUGUGAAGACAUGGAGCAAAAGACUCAGUUGAGUGAAUAUGCUCAAGCAGAGUAUUUCUCAUGGCUUCUGAAACUGAGAUCUGAGAGGUACAAGCACUGCUGUACCAUCUCCUUCCUGAGCAUGAGAUUCUCCCAAAUAAGGAGGAUCUAGGCAGCAAAAUGUCCUCAAUAAACAGAAAGAAAACUCUGUGAUGGUGUCACCUGCGGCAGCAGCCGUGGAACAGGGUCACUUACAUUUUGGAAACUCCCUCUACUCUACCCUUCUGACUCGCUGCUCUUCACAGCCUUCUCAAAUAGCUCAGACUCUAGAUCUACCUUGGUAGGAAUUUCCACCUGGCUGGCACCUUGUGGGAGUCUGCUUAAAUAAUUCAGAUUAAUGUGAGCUUUUCAGAGCUGAGGAUGGAGUAUCGACAAACAUAUAGGGCACCAG